CACCUUGCAAGACACCUGUUUUUUUGUCUCAUGGUGUUAAAAUCAUUGUACCAUCGCUGUCACGUGAUCUGCACACAGACUCAUUUCUAGCAGGCACUACCUUCUGAUCUUCUAGUCUGCCAGCAAUCAGGGGAAAUUGUUUUUUCCCUUGGUUUCAGGUUUAGUCAUCAGGAGCUGGCAGCCACCUGACAACCAUCUUGGCCCUUUGGCUGGGGCGGACCGGCUGGGUUGCUUGUUGGUUGGUGGCCGGGCAGUGGUGGCGGCUCUCCAGAGUGUGCUUUGGGAACCCAGCCGCUACGGGGUCGGUGGCCCUCUGGGGCUUGAAUACCCGAAUGGCCCUGGUGGACGGAUGGUGAACCUGAGCUUGGACACCCCCUCCCCUUUCCCCACUCUGAGGUCUGGAUGACGGAAAAUACAGCGACUGGGAUCUGGGCCACCUUGGAGAGUCUGGGCCCUUAUCUGACAUCUAGACUGUGCUGCCCAUUACUGUUGCCACCAGGCCCAGGUGGCAACUGAGCCCCUGAAACGUGGGGGGUCCGAAUUGGGAUGCGCCGGAAGUGCCAAGUACUGUGGAUUUCCAAGGCUUAGAACAAAACAACCCGCAGCAAUACUGAUUUUUUGUAUGUUGAUUAUAUGUUGACAUGAUACUAUUUGGUCAUAUUGCCUUAAAUGAAAUAUAUUAUUAAAGGUCAUUUCAUGUA